AGAGGGAAGUCCGGUGAGAUUCCGGCGCUGACCCGCAACCGUGAGGCGUGAGCCGAGCCGGGAACCU
rnacentral:ncRNA from 2 species